CAUCACGCAGGCGCAGUGAUGACCUCAUUCCCAAGCCUGUCAGGGAAGGCCACACCUGAUGUAACUGAGAGAUUUCUUCAGAGAGAGAAAUGGCUGGCAGCUGGACUGAGGAGCUGCAUCACUCCCUAUCAAAGAUAACAAGCUUCUUGACUUCUUGAUGUGGUUUUGUGACGCGCCUUACUCAUGGCGCCAAAGUUGAACUUGAGGAUGCAACAUCAAGGAGGAAAAACUCUGUAGCAGCCCUCACCGCCACUGACCAGACACAGAACAUCACCUCUGCCAAAGCCACCUUAUUACUGCCAAUAGCCAGGAGACUGUCCCAAUUCUUGAGAACUGGGGCCCAACUCAACUUCCGAGAACUGGGUGACUGUCGAAGCUAACUCCCGAAGGCCAGGGAUCAUUCACUCCACUGCAGUCAAAACAUCAGAGAGAAAGAACAGACCCCCAAGCAUUGAUGCUGGAACAGUUGCUCAAGCUGCGACCACCAUGGUCACUGGAUCCACCGCUCAACAGCUCCCCGCAACCUCCCUCCACCACCGCAGCAGCAGAAAGAAGAAGAAAUGAAUUUGAUUCAAAAGUUAAAUGAAGAAAAAUAAAAUUUUUAAAAUGGAGAAUUCAGUUGGUCAUGCGAGAGGGAGUGGUUGGGUUAGGAGCCCGAACACCUCCUUUCUUCCACCAUCUUGAAACAGAAUGAAAACUGGAUGGGAAUGAAAGGAAAUUAAAAUAUUUUACUGGCUUAAGAACUUGGCACAAGUUCAUUAUUAAAAUAAAUUUUUGUUAAUCAUAGAAAGAGUAAAAGUGGUAUACCAUUUCUAUGCUGAAAACAUUGAUGUUUCACAGUAGUCAAACUCAGACUAUAGAAGGACUGUAAUAUUUAUCCUUUAACUUUAUUUCCUUUAUUUUCCUAAUUUUGCUAUUAAGAACUGUAAUGUAGAACUUUUAACAUUUUUUAUUUCUCUAUUUUAGUACCUAAGAUUUGUAACUAGGUGUUUGUACCUGAGAUGGUGCUGUGUGUGGAAACAUUGGACACUCUUUCACUGUACACCUGUGCUUGAGUACAUAUGACAAUAAAGCCUAGUUUUAAUUCUGA